UGGGGAAUUUUGAACAAUGGGGGAAACCCUGAUCCAGCCAUCCCGCGUGUUCGAUGAAGGCCUUCGGGUUGUAAAGCACUUUUGGCAGGAAAGAAACGUCAUGGGUUAAUACCCCGUGAAACUGACGGUACCUGCAGAAUAAGCACCGGCUAACUACGUGCCAGCAGCCGCGGUAAUACGUAGGGUGCAAGCGUUAAUCGGAAUUACUGGGCGUAAAGCGUGCGCAGGCGGUUCGGAAGGAAAGAUGUGAAAUCCCAGAGCUCAACUUUGGAACUGCAUUUUUAACUACCGGGCUAGAGUGUGUCAGAGGGAGGUGGAAUUCCGAGUGUAGCAGUGAAAUGAGUAGAUAUGCGGAGGAACACCGAUGGCGAAGGCAGCCUCCUGGGAUAACAAUGACGCUCAUGCACGAAAGCGUGGGGAGCAAACAGG
rnacentral:rRNA from 1 species